GACGAACGCUGGCGGCGUGCCUAAUACAUGCAAGUUGAGCGCUGAAGGUUGGUACUUGUACCAACUGGAUGAGCAGCGAACGGGUGAGUAACGCGUGGGGAAUCUGCCUUUGAGCGGGGGACAACAUUUGGAAACGAAUGCUAAUACCGCAUAAAAACUUUAAACACAAGUUUUAAGUUUGAAAGAUGCAAUUGCAUCACUCAAAGAUGAUCCCGCGUUGUAUUAGCUAGUUGGUGAGGUAAAGGCUCACCAAGGCGAUGAUACAUAGCCGACCUGAGAGGGUGAUCGGCCACAUUGGGACUGAGACACGGCCCAAACUCCUACGGGAGGCAGCAGUAGGGAAUCUUCGGCAAUGGACGAAAGUCUGACCGAGCAACGCCGCGUGAGUUAAGAAGGUUUUCGGAUCGUAAAACUCUGUUGGUAGAGAAGAACGUUGGUGAGAGUGGAAAGCUCAUCAAGUGACGGUAACUACCCAGAAAGGGACGGCUAACUACGUG
rnacentral:rRNA from 1 species